UCCGUAGGCGGGCGAUUAAGUCAGAGGUGAAAUCCCACAGCUCAACUGUGGAACUGCCUUUGAUACUGGUUGUCUUGAGUUACAGUGAAGUAGAUAGAAUAUGUAGUGUAGCGGUGAAAUGCAUAGAUAUUACAUAGAAUACCGAUUGCGAAGGCAGUCUACUAACUGUAUACUGACGCUGAUGGACGAAAGCGUGGGGAGCGAACAGGAUUAGAUACCCUGGUAGUC
rnacentral:rRNA from 1 species